UCUGGGUUGCAUGGCUGCACGCCGUGGUUGGUCUGCUUUGUCAAUUUUCGACAUUCGGACUGCCUGGUGUCGCGGUCGUGUGAUCUUUCUGCCGUAUCUGUUUUACAGGUGUCGGUUGAUUUUCAGCUGGCAUGCUCUUGGGUGCCUUUAACAGGGUGUCCAGAGCGGACGGCACGUUUACUUUGAAAAAAUUUGAGUGCUCAAAGCAGGCCGUAGUGCCUGAAAANUCUUGCAUGGAAUAAUAGAAUAGGACUUCGGUUCUAUUUUGUUGGUUUUCGGAUCCGAAGUAAU
rnacentral:rRNA from 1 species